rnacentral:rRNA from 1 species
GAGGAAUAUUGCGCAAUGGAGGAAACUCUGACGCAGCGGCGCCGCGUGAAGGAUGAAUGCCCUCUGGGUUGUAAACUUCUGUAGAGAGGGAAGAAUGUCCGCCUUCGGCGGAUUGACGGUACCUCUAAAGUAAGCAUCGGCUAACUACGUGCCAGCAGCCGCGGUAAUACGUAGGAUGCGAGCGUUGUCCGGAAUUAUUGGGUUUAAAGGGUGCGUAGGCGGACUAAUAAGUCAGUGGUGAAAGCCUGCAGCUUAACUGCAGAAGUGCCAUUGAUACUGUUAGUCUUGAGUACAGUUGAGGUAGGCGGAAUGUGUCAUGUAGCGGUGAAAUGCUUAGAUAUGACACAGAACACCGAUUGCGAAGGCAGCUUGCUAAGCUGUAACCGACGCUGAGGCACGAAAGCGUGGGGAGCAAACA